rnacentral:tRNA from 2 species
GGGCUAUUAGCUCAGUUGGUUAGAGCGCUUCCUUGACAUGGAAGAGGUCAGUAGUUCGAAUCUACUAUAGCCCACCA